rnacentral:rRNA from 1 species
UACGGAGGAUCCGAGCGUUAUCCGGAUUUAUUGGGUUUAAAGGGAGCGUAGGUGGAUCGUUAAGUCAGUUGUGAAAGUUUGCGGCUCAACCGUAAAAUUGCAGUUGAAACUGGCAGUCUUGAGUACAGUAGAGGUGGGCGGAAUUCGUGGUGUAGCGGGGAAAUGCUUAGAUAUCACGAAGAACUCCGAUUGCGAAGGCAGCUCACUGGACUGCAACUGACACUGAGGCUCGAAAGUGUGGGUAUCAAACAGG